rnacentral:misc_RNA from 1 species
GAUGAAGAACGCAGCGAAAUGCGAUAAGUAAUGUGAAUUGCAGAAUUCAGUGAAUCAUCGAAUCUUUGAACGCACAUUGCGCCCCCUGGUAUUCCGGGGGGCAUGCCUGUCCGAGCGUCAUUACAACCCUCAAGCUCAGCUUGGUGUUGGGCCCCGCCGCCCCGGCGGGCCCUAAAGUCAGUGGCGGUGCCGUCCGGCUCCGAGCGUAGUAAUUCUUCUCGCUCUGGAGGUCCGGUCGUGUGCUCGACAGCAACCCCCAAUUUUUUUCAGGUUGACCUCGGAUCAGGUAGGGAUACCCGCUGAACUUAAGCAUAUCAAUAAGCGGAGGA